CACACAGUAAACGAUAAUCACUAGGUGUCGGUUUCUUAUCAAUGGAUUCGGUGCCGUAGCUAACGCGUUAAGUGAUUCGCCUGGGGAGUACGAUCGCAAGGUUGAAACUCAAAGGAAUUGACGGGGGCCCGCACAAGCGGUGGAGCAUGUGGUUUAAUUCGAGGCAACGCGAAGAACCUUACCCGGGUUUGACAUCCGUAGAAUCCUUCAGAGAUGAGGGAGUGCCGGUUUACCGGAGCUACGAGACAGGUGC
rnacentral:rRNA from 1 species